rnacentral:rRNA from 1 species
UACGGAGGGUGCAAGCGUUGUCCGGAUUUAUUGGGUUUAAAGGGUGCGUAGGCGGCUGAUUAAGUCAGCGGUGAAAUUCCACAGCUCAACUGUGGAACUGCCAUUGAUACUGGUUAGCUUGAGUACAGAUGAGGUAGGCGGAAUUGACAGUGUAGCGGUGAAAUGCUUAGAUAUUGUCAAGAACACCUAUUGCGAAGGCAGCUUACUAAGCUGUAACUGACGCUGAGGCAUGAAAGCGUGGGGAUCAAACAGG